GACGUACAUGGGAGCCAAAGUCGUUCACAAGAGCCAUGGAAGAUGUCCUGUGCAAAAUGCAAAUGAAAAGGAUACCCAAACAAUAAGAGGAACACAUGAUUGGUGACAAAUCAGCAAAGAAGAAUGAGAAGGAGCAGUCAGAUCUGCUGCUCCUGAACUGGGACUGGUUUUCCUGCCUAGUUCCAUGGAUAUGUUUGGCUCCCCGACCUGAGAAUUUCUGACAUUGACUUUGGAUAGUGGUUGCUGAUUUUGAUCCCUGAUCUUCAUGCUUGGAGGCAGGCUGGUGCAGUGGGGAGAACAGUUGAUUUGGAGUCAGGGAGGCCUGGGUUUGAAUCUGUUCUCCAACCCUUACUUUCUAUGC